rnacentral:rRNA from 1 species
AGUGAACGCUGGCGGUAGGCCUAACACAUGCAAGUCGAAUGGCAGCACAGUAAGAGCUUGCUCUUACGGGUGGCGAGUGGCGGACGGGUGAGGAAUACAUCGGAAUCUACUUUUUCGUGGGGGAUAACGUAGGGAAACUUACGCUAAUACCGCAUACGACCUACGGGUGAAAGCAGGGGAUCUUCGGACCUUGCGCGAUUGAAUGAGCCGAUGUCGGAUUAGCUAGUUGGCGGGGUAAAGGCCCACCAAGGCGACGAUCCGUAGCUGGUCUGAGAGGAUGAUCAGCCACACUGGAACUGAGACACGGUCCAGACUCCUACGGGAGGCAGCAGUGGGGAAUAUUGGACAAUGGGCGCAAGCCUGAUCCAGCCAUACCGCGUGAGUGAAGAAGGCCUUCGGGUUGUAAAGCCCUUUUGUUGGGAAAGAAAAGCAGCAGGUUAAUACCCCGCUGUUCUGACGGUACCCAAAGAAUAAGCACCGGCUAACUUCGUG